rnacentral:rRNA from 1 species
AAUAUUGCACAAUGGGCGAAAGCCUGAUGCAGCAACUCCGCGUGCGUGAUGAAGGUUUUCGUGUCGUAACGCUCUUGUACCAGGGAUGUUAAUGACAUUACCUGAAAAACAAGCCACGGCUAACUACUUGCCAGCAGCCGAGGUAAUACGUAGGUGGCGAGCGUUGUCCGGAAUUAUGGGGCGUAAAGGAUGCGUAGGUGGAUACUUAAGUGGGAUGUGAAAUCCACGGGCUCAACCCGGGAACUGCAUUCCAAACUGGGUAUCUAGAGUGCAGGAGAGGAAAGCGGAAUUCCUAGUGUAGCGGUGAAAUGCGUAGAUAUUAGGAGGAACACCAGUGGCGAAGGCGGCUUUCUGGACUGUAACUGACACUGAGGCAUGAAAGCGUGGGUAGCAAACAGG